rnacentral:rRNA from 1 species
UACGUAAGGGGCGAGCGUUGUUCGGAAUUAUUGGGCGUAAAGGGUGCGUAGGCGGCUUCGUAAGUGUGUCUGUCAAGCCCGGGGCUCACCUCCGGGAAUCGGAUGCAAACUGCAGAGCUAGAGUUCGCAAGGGGUUGGUGGAAUUCCUGGUGUAGCGGUGAAAUGUAUAGAUAUCAGGAAGAACACCGGUGGCGAAGGCGACCAACUGGAGCUGAACUGACGCUGAUGCACGAAAGCUAGGGGAGCAAACAGG